UUGAGGCAAAAUCUAAAAGCAGUGAAGAGGCACUUAGAAAUGUUGAAGAACAAGCUGCUGACUCUGCUUCAGUGGUUAGGAACCUGCAGACCGAACUGUCCUCCUGUAAAGAGGAGCUGAGUCAUUACCUCCAGCAGAUGGAGGAGGUAAAGAAACAUCAUGAUAGACAACUGGAGCUGAUGAACAGUGAGCUGUCACAGCUGCAGGAAGAGCUGAAGAGGAAAUGUGUGGCUUAUCAAAGCUCCAGUGAGGAGAACCUGCAGCUGCAGCACUCUAUCCAGAACCAGCACACCAUGUUGCAGGAGAGCACGUUACGCAUCGCACAGCUGGAGGAGAGCCAGAGUCAGCUGCAGAG